AAUGUCGUUCUCUAAAGAAAAUAACAAUAGGCUAGGUUCGCCGACAUUUCCAAGCCAAAUCUAAUAUGCGAAUUCCAUUGAUAGCUUUGCUGUUGUUGUCUGCUAGCAUCAAAGCUAGUACCGAAAGAAUUCGGUGAAACAAGGGAAAAGGCCGUUAUUGCAACAAAAUGUUUCGGUGCAACAAAUUCUACCAAAAACUCCUUUUACCAUAAAAGACGGCUAGCUGCUUUAAAGAGGAGAAGACUUAAAAAAGUGACAUCAAGGAUAUUUUGUUAUGCGGGUUUAUUGAUUAUUACCAGGAUCCAAGCAUAAACCAAAGCCAAACAUAGGACUUGCUUAACCACUCAACAAUAUUACUGUGAAAGGAUGCCAAAUUAUGAAAGCGAGGAUCAUCCAAACCAUCCACCUUUCUGAUUUGAGGUCUUCAAUGGAUGAAUGUAAUUUAAACGAGUUUUCAUAUUGAGUCUGAAAAAGAAAGGGAUGAAUAGAUGACUUCUAUUGAUUAUGUUGCUGAACAGCUUCCUACAGAUCCUGAUAGCAAUGAUGUGGAUAUGCCAGCUGUGUCUAAAAAACACCACGAACCAUGCUUCCAAUCCUGAAGAAAUGGAAGAACGUCUAACAGCUAAGCUCUCACACUCCCAGGGAAAAAGCCGGAUUUAUGUGAAACGAAAACAAAAAAAAAAACUAAACGAAAGUUAGAUGAAAUGAAGAAGAAAUUAAAAAGGAAAAAUAAGAAGAAGAGGUCCUGAAUUGCCAAACUUGCACAAGCCACCAUGGCAGCAUCUGUGUCAUCUACCUCAGGUCUUUCAGAGUUUAGCUAGUCUUCAGAGAAAAAUUAAAACCAAAAGUGAAAAUCUUGGUAGGCCAAGCUGAAGUUGAGAAGGCAUGAAGCAUUAAAGAGAAACAGGCAUGAAAUGGUGCUCUGCAAUUAGCUGAAGGUUUUCAGGUAAAGGACUGUGGAAUUGCUUGACAAAUAAAUUAAGAAACGAGAUAAAAUCAAAGAAAAAGUUAAAAAAAAUUGGGAUGAACGCAUCGAAGAAAGGGAUAAGGAAUAACAACAGAAAAAGAGAAAAGCCAACAUUAAGAAAAAGAAAACUGAGAAGAAAGAACAUAAAGUGAAUAAAUUAAAGAAAAACAGGCAAAUGUAUCAUAUGAAAUACUGAUACUGUCUCAUGGAUGAGCUAAACUCGUGUUCUAUCAUGUGUAAGCCAUGUCGUGAUAGUUUUUUAUAACAAUACACUGGCAUGCUUCCUAUGAUCGGGGAAAAUUUGAA